GACGAACGCUGGCGGCGCGCUUAACACAUGCAAGUCGAACGGAAAGGCCUGCUUUCCCUUGUGGAUUGCGGGUACUCGAGUGGCGAACGGGUGAGUAACACGUGAGUGAUCUGCCCCCAACUUGGGUAUAAGCCCGGGAAACUGGGUCUAAUUCCCGAUAGGACUGCAGGGUGGUGCCUGUGGUGGAAAACGAUUUUCUAGUGGUUGGGGAUGAGCUCGCGGCCUAUCAGCUUGUUGGUGGGGUAAUGGCCUACCAAGGCGGCGACGGGUAGCCGGCCUGAGAGGGUGGACGGCGACAUUGGGACUGGGAUACGGCCCAGACUCCGACGGGAGGCAGCAGGGGGGAAUAGUGCACAAUGGGCGGAAGCCUGAUGCAGCGACGCCGCGUGGGGGAUGACGGCCUUCGGGUUGUAAACUCCUUUCGACCGCGAGGAAGCCACCUGGUUGGAAGGGUGGUGACGGUAGUGGUAGAAGAAGCACCGGCUAACUACGUG
rnacentral:rRNA from 1 species